rfam:Salmo salar isolate Sally breed double haploid chromosome ssa07, whole genome shotgun sequence.
CCUUUGAUAGCUCAGUUGGUAGAGCGGAGGACUGUAGGUGCUAAUUACACCAAUCCUUAGGUCGCUGGUUCAAAUCCGGCUCAAAGGA